AUUAAACGCUGGCGGCAUGCCUUACACAUGCAAGUCGAACGGCAGCACGGGGGCAACCCUGGUGGCGAGUGGCGGACGGGUGAGUAAAGCAUCGGAACGUAUCCUGGAGUUGGGGAUAACGUAGCGAAAGUUACGCUAAUACCGCAUAUUCUGUGAGCAGGAAAGCAGGGGAUCGCAAGACCUUGCGCUCUGGGAGCGGCCGAUGUCGGAUUAGCUAGUUGGUGGGGUAAAGGCCUACCAAGGCGACGAUCCGUAGCGGGUCUGAGAGGAUGAUCCGCCACACUGGGACUGAGACACGGCCCAGACUCCUACGGGAGGCAGCAGUGGGGAAUUUUGGACAAUGGGCGCAAGCCUGAUCCAGCCAUGCCGCGUGAGUGAAGAAGGCCUCGG
rnacentral:rRNA from 1 species